AUUUCUGCUCGCGCGAGGAAAGUUUCUGCUCCCCUGUGUCUCUACUUGGAGGCGGAACCAGGAAUGGUACUGGCUCUUCUGUCAUUGGCCGUUUCUGAAGAGUGAGAUUUAAUUGACAGCCCUCUUUACAGAAGCAACUCAAGGUGAUCUCCGAAGAAGAAGAUGCCUCUACUGCUGAGCAGGCAUUUUUUCAGGUGCAUUGGAUGCGACUCAGGUGAGGACAGGGGAACUGUAGGCUCAAGUGAGAGGACUGAUGUAGCAGCUCCAGCUCUCCAGGUGCACUGGAUGCAGGUCAAGUAGGACAGAGGACCUGGAGCGACAAGUAAGAAGACUGACCACAUGCAGCGGCUCCAGCUCUCCAUAUAUUGUGUCUGGGAUACGGAUGCAGAUGCAGACUACACAAAGCACAGAAGAUGGGCCUAGAUGCACAGCUACACAACUCUAACUCUUCAAGGAUACCUCUUCUCCUGGCGCUUCUGACACACCCAAUGUGCACUUACUUACCAUGUUUUUCUCUCCUCUACCUCCAUCCUCUCCACCCUCCUUCUACCACUUUCUCCUCCUACCAGACUGAUUAUUACUUAUAAUGUAUAGGCACUUCUAUCCUUUAGCACUGACAGAUGCAGUGGUAAUUCCUACCUACAGUAUGCUCCUAACUAUGGUCUCCCCUGCACUGUAGCCUAGUUGAAAUGUUACACAUUCUGCCCAAAUGUGAGAUUGAUUCUUGACUGCAGUUCUUAAGGCAGGACACUGAGAAAACGCUAGCCACCGUCCAUCUUAGAAUAGUAAUUGGUUUAUAGUAAUUUGUACAUUGUGUUUUGGAUGUUCAUGUAUUUUUUCAUGUAUUGUACUUCCAUCAUCAUAUUGUUUCCCCAUACAAUAAAAUAUGUUCCUUCCUGA